UUUGCUCACCUUCACUUCAGUUGGUUCCCCUGCUCUCACUUGCUGCAUCUCCCCCGGAGCUCGGGUCAGGUCUACAAUGGCAAUGAUCAGCCCUGCCGCCGCCACCGUCGUCGCCGCCAGGCCGGCCCAAGCUCUAGGGCUCCCUCAGCUGAGGGUGACCAGGGCUGAGAAGCUGAGGUGCGCCUACUCCAAGGACGGCAAGGAGGAGGCGGCUGCGGCGACUCCGGCGGUCGUGAAAGGCGUGCCGCUGCUGGCCGCGGCGAGCGCAGCCAUGACGGCGGCGUCCCCGGCGCUGGCGCUGGUGGACGAGCGGAUGUCGACGGAGGGCACGGGGCUGAGCCUGGGGCUGAGCAACAACCUGCUGGGGUGGAUCCUGCUGGGCGUGUUCGGCCUCAUCUGGUCCCUCUACACCGUCUACUCCUCCACCCUCGACGACGACGACGAGUCCGGCGGCCUCUCCCUCUGAAGUCCCGCCACCACCACCAUCUUCCUCUUCCUCCUGCCCGCCUGCCUCAUCCUUGAAAGCUUUGCGUAAUUACCGUCAGCCUAAGCAUGGACGAAAGCAUAUCUACCAUGUAUGGGAUAUCCCAUGCAUGGUACAACCGUUCAUCUAGUUGGAUUUGGUUACAUGCACAUGCGUUCCCAUUUUCUCCAUCAAUAUUGACAACUUUUUCAAUAGCUAGCUUUGUGACAGAGAUUAAUUACCCAGUACCCACCCAUGUCUUUUCA